UACGUAGGGUGCGAGCGUUAAUCGGAAUUACUGGGCGUAAAGCGUGCGCAGGCGGUUUGGUAAGACCGCUGUGAAAUCCCCGGGCUUAACCUGGGAAUUGCAUUUGUGACUGCCCGGCUAGAGUGUGUCAGAGGGGGGUAGAAUUCCACGUGUAGCAGUGAAAUGCGUAGAUAUGUGGAGGAAUACCGAUGGCGAAGGCAGCCCCCUGGGAUAACACUGACGCUCAUGCACGAAAGCGUGGGGAGCAAACAGG
rnacentral:rRNA from 1 species